rnacentral:tRNA from 1 species
UGGUAGAGCAGAGGACUGAAAAUCCUCGUGUCAC